AACUAAAUGGCUGAUAAAAGCAUAGAAUUUUUAAUUCUUACAUGAACUAUUUCUUUAGUU
rnacentral:tRNA from 1 species